rnacentral:misc_RNA from 1 species
UUCCAUGACACCCUUGGAUUUGGUGCAGCUAAAAUGAUAAGGAGAAUUGUCGGUGUUGCCCAUGUUGAGGAUUUUGAAUCAAUAAAAGAUGCUAGCAAACGAGCUGAAUGUGAGCGGCAGGCCCUCGAGUUUGCAAAACUACUCCUCAAAGAAAGGCGGCGAUUCCAGUCCAUCAAUGAAGUUGUGUCAGCUAUUCGGGCAUAAGUUCAUGACAAACUUUUGGGUA